UGGGGAAUAUUGGACAAUGGAGGCAACUCUGAUCCAGCCAUGCCGCGUGAAUGAUGAAGGCCUUCGGGUUGUAAAGUUCUUUUAGCGAGGAAAAUAAUGAUGGUACUCGCAGAAAAAGCACCGGCUAACUUCGUGCCAGCAGCCGCGGUAAUACGAAGGGUGCUAGCGUUGCUCGGAAUUACUGGGCGUAAAGGGUUUGUAGGCGGUCUCUUAAGCCAGUGGUGAAAGCCUGAGGCUCAACCUCAGAAUUGCCAUUGGUACUGGGAGGCUAGAGAGUGUUAGAGGUAAGUGGAAUUCCUAGUGUAGGAGUGAAAUCCGUAGAGAUUAGGAGGAAUAUCGAUGGCGAAGGCAGCUUACUGGGACAUUUCUGACGCUGAAAAACGAAAGCGUGGGUAGCAAA
rnacentral:rRNA from 1 species